GUGCUCGCUUCGGUAGCAUAUAUACUAAAAUGGGAACAAUACAGAGAUUAGUAUGGCCCCUGCAUAAGAAAUCAUAUUAAGGGGCUGGGGAGGUAGCAUAAUGGU
ensembl:snRNA U6 U6 spliceosomal RNA